AGUCAUCCCCUCUUCUCCUCAGGAACCGCUCAAACCUGUGCCCCAAAGAUGAGGGCCCAGGAGGACCCCGAGGGCCGGACACAGCAUGAAUCCACCAGGGACCCCCCGACCCCGCUACCCACAGAGCCUAAGUUUGACAUGUUGUACAAGAUCGAGGACGUGCCGCCUUGGUACCUGUGCAUCCUGCUGGGCUUCCAGCACUACCUGACAUGCUUCAGUGGUACCAUCGCCGUGCCCUUCCUGCUGGCUGAGGCGCUGUGUGUGGGCCACGACCAGCACAUGGUUAGUCAGCUCAUCGGCACCAUCUUCACGUGCGUGGGCAUCACCACUCUCAUCCAGACCACCCUGGGCAUCCGGCUGCCGCUGUUCCAGGCCAGUGCCUUUGCAUUUCUGGUUCCAGCCAAAGCCAUACUGGCUCUGGAGAGAUGGAAAUGCCCCCCAGAAGGGUGCAGCCAUGGCAGCAUCUUCUCUCCCUCUCUGUCUCUGUACCUGGUCCGUGUGUGUGUCCCUGACUCUACCCCCAGAGGAGAUCUACGGUAACUGGAGUCUGCCCCUGAAC
rnacentral:sRNA from 1 species